UCCGGUUUGUCACCGGCAGUCCCAUUAGAGUGCUCAACUGAAUGUAGCAACUAAUGGCAAGGGUUGCGCUCGUUGCGGGACUUAACCCAACAUCUCACGACACGAGCUGACGACAGCCAUGCAGCACCUGUGUUACGGCUCCCUUUCGGGCACUCCUGCAUCUCUGCAGGAUUCCGUACAUGUCAAGGGUAGGUAAGGUGGGGAUGACGUCCCAGUAUCGGAA
rnacentral:misc_RNA from 1 species